ACUCCACUUUGAAAGAACCGAUUAAAUGUCCCACCACAAAGACCCCUCUUAGGAGCUUAAUGUUGUUAAAUAGACUCUGAAGCCUGAUCACAUCAUAGCAAAGGGAAGCAAACCUUUUGUUUUCAUUUAUUCACUCUUCUGGAAAGGACAUUUUAACAAGAAGAACAUUUCAGUGAUGGUAUUGAUAUCCAACUGAAGGAAAGGGCUAGAAUCCGCAGGACAGGCACCUGAAAGAACAGGAUGCUGGACUAAACGGGCCACUGGCCUGAUCCAGUAACCUCUCCUGUCCUGAAAUAUAUGUUGCCAUUGUAAACGUAGUGAAUACCUUGAUAAACUAGAACAAAUGUAGCACAUUUUCUCAUAUUCCAGGCAACGACCGAGAAGGAAAUUCAAAGUUGGGAGAGGAAACUCUGCUAAACAGGAGAUUGGGAAGAGCAGGACUCGCUUUGGGAAAAUGAAGCACAAUCGCAGGCUUCAAUAUCGCACCUCUGCCCUCUACAGUUGCGCAUACCCUGGGGCUCUGGCAGGAUGCAGUAACCAGGGAUUCCAAAGGAGCCAGGAGAAUCUGCAGAAAUGGGCACCGCAAAGCUUAUGCUCCGAAAUCCACAUCUUCCCACAGGUUGUUCUGAAGCCAGGAACUGCCCCAUCUGCCUCCAUGUUCGUUCAUUUGCUUCAGAAACCAGGAGACGGCCCCUUGAACGUGAAACCUUGCCAUCGCAAUCUCCCCCAAGCCUUGCCUUCCGUUUAUUAUAGAAGAUCUGAAGGACUGAACCCUUUGAAUAAGACAGCACUUUGGAAUCCAAGAUAAAUCGCUUUGUAAUGAACCAAGAGCAAUGCACUCAUGUGGGAACUGACUUCUUGCUCUUUUAUGGCAUACAUAGCCCAUUUAUGAAACCUGUCAUUAUCGGUCAGUUUAUGUAAAAUACAGUAGAGAAAACAUGUAUAAUCUGAAGCAUGCAACCCUAUGAUAUAGGCUGCUUGUUCAAAACUGAAACAUACUACUGAAAAUGUACCAUCUACUCGGGUAACAGUGGGAGCUCUAAAAAGGAAAAGUGAGUUUUAACAUUUAUUUUAUUUCAAGGCAUAGGUUCAUAGCCCUAUUAUUUAGUAAAGUGUUUCUUCUGUAGCCAGGUGGACAACUUGACAGAAUAAAGCCACAACCUUUUAUGUCA